GGGAGGGUGUGACUAGUGACAGAGUGAGGGAGGGAAGUGGUGACUAGUGAGAGUGAGGGAGGUGGUGAUUAGUGACAGAGGGAGGAAUGGGGUGACUAUCACUGUGUCACCCCCUUCCUCACUCUGUCACUAGUCACCCUCUCCCUCCCUCACUCGGUCACUAUUCACCCCCUCUCUCACUCUGUCACCAGUCAUUCCCUCACUCUGUCACCAGUCAUCUCUUCCUUCCC